rnacentral:rRNA from 1 species
AUAUUGGUCAAUGGACGCAAGUCUGAACCAGCCAUGCCGCGUGCAGGAUGACGGCCCUAUGGGUUGUAAACUGCUUUUGUACGGGAAAAAACCCUUCUACGUGUAGAAGGCUGAUGGUACCGUAAGAAUAAGGAUCGGCUAACUCCGUGCCAGCAGCCGCGGUAAUACGGAGGAUCCAAGCGUUAUCCGGAUUCAUUGGGUUUAAAGGGUGCGUAGGCGGACUAGUAAGUCAGUGGUGAAAUCCUGCAGCUUAACUGCAGAACUGCCAUUGAUACUGCUGGUCUAGAGUACAAUUGAUGUGGGCGGAAUGUGUCGUGUAGCGGUGAAAUGCUUAGAUAUGACACAGAACACCGAUUGCGAAGGCAGCUCACAAAACUGUAACUGACGCUGAGGCACGAAAGUGUGGGGAUCGAACAGG